GAUGAACGCUAGCUACAGGCUUAACACAUGCAAGUCGAGGGGCAUCAGGAAGAAAGCUUGCUUUCUUUGCUGGCGACCGGCGCACGGGUGAGUAACACGUAUCCAACCUGCCCUUUACUCGGGGAUAGCCUUUCGAAAGAAAGAUUAAUACCCGAUAGCAUAAUGAUUUCGCAUGGUUUCAUUAUUAAAGGAUUCCGGUAAAGGAUGGGGAUGCGUUCCAUUAGGUUGUUGGUGGGAUAAAAGCUUACCAAGCCGACGAUCUGUAGCUGGUCUGAGAGGACGACCAGCCACACUGGGACUGAGACACGGCCCAG
rnacentral:rRNA from 1 species